CAGUAAGAGCAAAGUUUUACCUUUCCUUGAUCAUGGUAGUUAUGCUUCUAGUUGCUUUGAUAUCAUUCAUACUGAUCGUUUGGGUGUCGGUCCUAUUAUUUCACAUGCUCAAUACAAGUGUUUUGUGACAUUCAUUGAUGAUUACAAUCGUUUUACUUGGGUGUAUCUUCUCCGUUCCAAAGCCGAAGUCUUCUCAAUCUUUCGAACUUUUAUUGCUUAUGUUAAGACCCAAUUUUCCACUAACAUUAAAAUUUUAAGUUUUGACUUGGGGGGAGUAUAUAUCUAAAGAUUUUCAGGACUAUCUCAAAAUAAAGGGAAUCCUUUCUCAACGCCCUUGUCCUUAUACUCCUCAACAGAAUGGUGUCGCAGAACGUAAAAAUCGAUACAUCCUAGAUAUUGUUCAAACCUUACUGAUUGAAUCUUCUGUGCCUUUUAAGUUUUGGGUAGAAGCUUUAUCUACUCCUAUAUACUUGAUUAAUAGAUUGCCUUUCCCCACUUUGGAUUAUGACUCUCCUUACUCUCGCUUGUUUGGUAACGUUCCUGACUAUUAUUCUUUACAUACUUUUGUUUUGUCCGCUUUAUUCAUUUACCACCCACCGAACGUCACAAGCUUACAGCUCAAGUGGCUAAAUGUGCUUUCAUGGGAUAUAGUCCUAAUCAUAAGAGGUUUGUGUGUUAUGAUGCAGACACUAAUAAGCUACAAAUUUCUCGAAAUGUUAUUUUCUUUGAAAAUUAAUAUUUCUUCCAGUCACGUGUCCCUCCUGAUUCUGCUUCUGUUAUUCUUCCUACUUUUGAAGCUACGCCUUAUUCUAUUGAACACUUUAAACUAGGAAUUGUAUAUCAGAGAUGUUCCCCAUUGCCUCUUUCGCCUGAUCUCGAACCAAUGUCUGAUUUUGAAUCUGAGCCUCGUCUUCCAGAGCUUGAACUUCUACGCUCCAAUCAUGUCACUCGUCCUCCAGAUAAGUAUGGUUUUUCACAUAUUGCACUCCAAGCUACGAUUGACACUACUUUUGUCCCCAAAUCUUAUUCUUAGGUUGCUAGUCAAGCCUACUGGAGGCAAGCUAUGCAUGAAGAACUUCAAACUCUCUAAGAUAAUCAUACUUCGGACAUUGUACCCUGUCCAAAUGGGGCAAAAGUUAUUGGAUGCAAAUGGGUUUACACAAAGAAGCUACGCAUUGAUGGUUCCAUCGAUCGAUACAAGGCACACUUGGUGGCACUUGGCAACAAGAGAAUGGCAUUGACUUUGAGGAGACAUUUGCACCGAUGGCUAAGAUGACUAUGGUACGCACUAUCAUUGCCAUUGCUGCAUCUCAAGAAUGGUCACUUCGACAAAUGGAUGUCAAGAAUGCUUUUCUAUAUGGAGAACUGAAAGAAGAAGUAUACAUGAUUCCUCCCCCUGGCCUGUUCACUCACUCAUCCUCUGAAGUCUGUCGUUUAAAGCUGUCAUUAUAUGGUUUAAAGCAAGCACCGCGGGCAUGGUUUGAUAAAUUUCGCACUACUCUCCUUGAUUUCACUUUUAUUCAAAUUCAAUAUGAUUUUUCUCUCUUCCUUAGAAAGACUGAUAUUGGCAUUGUGGUUCUUCUAAUGUACGUGGAUGAUAUUAUCAUUACAGAUUCUGAUUCACAGUUAAUUAAGGAAGUGCAGCAGCAUCUUUGAACUUCCUUUCACAUGAAAGAUCUUGGUCCGUUACAAUAUUUUCUUAGCUUUGAAGUGCAUUCCACUUUUAAAGGAACACUGUUACAUCAACACAAAUAUACUCAAGAUAUAAUUACUUCUGCUAGACUUGGGUCCGGCAACUCGGUUCUCACACCUAUGGAAAUCAAUCUGAAGCUUCGCUGGGUAUAAGGAGAUCUUUUAACUGACCCUUUGCUAUAUCGACAGUUGAUGGAAGUUUGAACUAUUUGACGAUAACAAAGCCUGAUAUCUCCUUUGCAGUCCAGCAAGUUAGCCAAUUUAUGUAGGCUCCUAGACAUUCUCAUCUGGCCACUAUGCGAUGUAUCAUUCGUUAUCUAAAUGGCACAUCUGGUCUAGGUUUAUUCUUUCCUAUUGGGAAUUCUCUACAGUUGAUUGGUUUUACUGAUGCUGAUUGGGCUGGUUGAAAGGAUACUCAAUGGUCAAUCACUGGUUGGUGCAUGUUUCUUGGAAAUGCACUUAUCUCGUGGAAGAGAAAGCAAAAUCGUGUGUCAAAGUCUUCCACUGAGUCUGAAUAUCGAGCUAUGUCCUCCGCUUGUUCCGAGAUUGUGUGGCUUCGGGGCUUACUUGGGGAACUUGGUUUUCCUCAGCUUACUCCUACUCCACUUUAUGCUGACAACACAAGUGCUGUUCAGAUUGCUGCUAAUCCGGUAUUCCAUGAGCGAACCAAGGACAUUGAGGUCGAUUGUCACUCCAUAUGAGAAGCCUUUGACCAAAAUGCGAUUACACUUCCUCACAUGUCUAUGGAUCUUCAGAUAGCUGACAUAUUUACCAAAGCUCUUGAACAUCUUCGACAUCAGUUUAUGGUUGACAAAUUGAUGCUUUUUGAUCGACAACAUCAAUUUGAGGGGGGAUGACACCAUAUCACACAUACAUUAUGCACAUGAUUAUAUUGUAAAUAUAGAACAAUGAUGUAAUUAGGAGAUUUGAUAGAAAUAUUAUGGCUGUAAUUUGGGACGGUAAUUAGGGGAAAAGUUCCUAUUUAAUGAGGAGUGAUGAGUGUAAUUCACUCAUUAAACUAAAGCUUCUAAAUCAAGUUUUUUGAUGUGUUCUUGAGCAUUUUUGAACGUUUUGAUGUGUGUGCUAGUGUUGUUUUGCAGUUUGGACAACUCUCGAGAAAAUACCACUAUUGGGAGCCGGUGAUGAGCAAAAAUGAUGAUCAAUGAAAUGGAGCAUGAAUAAGCAAGUAUUGAAUAAGAUUGGAGUGAAAAAUAGGCUUGAAAAAACAAAGAAAAGAGAAGUAAAGCAGUAGCAUUGGCGCUACGACGCAGAAAAAGGGGCGCCAUGAGAUGCAAUUCCAGUAGAAACCUGGGCGCCAUGGCGCCCAAUGAAGAAAAAAAAGGAGCAGAACCUUGGGCGCCAUGAAGAAAAAGCGAGCAGAGACUUGGGCGCCACGGCGCCAGACCUAGGCGCCAUGGCGCCUGUUCCCAAAACGUUAAAACCCGAGUUUUUAAGUAUGUUUUCGGCCCAAAAAAUCAUACCCUAACCCUUGAGGACCCUUAGAAAAUAUAUAUACCUAGCUGAAGAACAAGAGACGGUGGUUAGACGGCUGAAGAGGCAAGAAAAAGAGGCACCAAUUGAGAGAAGAUCGACCCGAUUUUGGAGAAGAAGAAGGGAGAAACUGAGAAAUCAAGCCACAAGAUUGAGAAAUAGAGCAGCAACCUGAGUUUUUUCUUAUCUUUCUCUUCUUCAUGCAAUUUAAUUUGUAUUUUAUCAUGUUCUUCUUCUCAAUCAUGAACUAAGUUAUUAAAUCUAGGGUUUGAUGUAACCUAUUUGAGACAUGAUUCAAUUUCUUUAUAGUAU
rnacentral:lncRNA from 1 species